GCGGGUAUAGUUUAGUGGUAA
rnacentral:tRNA from 2 species